rnacentral:rRNA from 1 species
UACGUAGGGUGCAAGCGUUGUUCGGAUUUACUGGGCGUAAAGGGCGUGUAGGCGGCUUAUUAAGUCAUCUGUGAAAUCUCCGAGCUUAACUCGGAACUGUCAGCUGAUACUGAUGUGCUAGAGUGCGGAAGGGGCAAUCGGAAUUCUUGGUGUAGCGGUGAAAUGCGUAGAUAUCAAGAGGAACACCUGAGGUGAAGACGGGUUGCUGGGCCGGCACUGGCGCUGAGUGCGCGAAAGCCAGGGGAGCAAACGGG